rnacentral:rRNA from 1 species
UACGAGGGGGAGCAAGCGUUUGUUCGGAUUUACUGGGCGUAAAGGGCGCGUAGGCGGCGUGACUAGUCACUUGUGAAAUCUCCGGGCUUAACUCGGAACGGUCAAGUGAUACUGUCGUGCUAGAGUACAGAAGGGGCAACUGGAAUUCUCGGUGUAGCGGUGAAAUGCGUAGAUAUCGAGAGGAACACCUGCGGCGAAGGCGGGUUGCUGGGCUGAUACUGACGCUGAGACGCGAAAGCGUGGGGAGCGAACAGG